CGAAAAAUGAUUGGUUGUAUCGCU
rnacentral:miRNA from 1 species